GCACCUGAGGAGACGAUGGAGAAGCAGCUUAAAUAGCCUGCUUCUCCCCUCAUUUGGGGCACUCUCAGCCAUGUGGCUCGUGCCGGGAGGGAGCAGAGUGAGAGACAGUCGCGGGAGAAGCCGGGAGCGGGAGCCACGCUGACCUCACCGACGGACCGGACCCGGAGACCCCUCACCCAUUUUUACCGCGUUAAAGACUUUUUGAAGUAAAGAGGAGCAUCUCAUCUGAACCUGAUGUCUAUCAUGGAAAUUUAACUGCAAUUCUGUGAGUAUCCCAACUUAACCAUGAAGAUGAACUGCAAACUGUAAGUCAAAAGUUUCUCAUUACUCUUGGGCACAUUGAUGUAUUUUGGCUUCCUGGUAGGAAUGCGCGAUAUACGAUAUAAACGAUAAAAAAUGGCCUACGAUAAAGAUUUUAGUUAUAUUGCUCUAUCCAUGACCUGCGAAAUUUAAAAAGAGCCACGAGCUGCAACCAGCUGCAUUGCAUCAUCCGUGACCCGCGAAAUUUAAAGAGCCACGAGCUGCAACCGGCUGCAACGCAUCGUCCGCGACCCGCAAAAUUUAAACAGCCACGAGCUGCAACCGGCUGCAACGCAUCAUCCGAGACCCGUGAAAUUUAAAGAGCCUUGAGCUGCAACCAGCUUCAACGCAUCAUCGUCAUCUAAGCAAAUAUGGCUGAAAGCGACACGGAGGAGCUGGUGAUUGCGCUCAUUUCCUGUUCAUUUUAAAAUUGUAUGCGUUCACUUUGCACUUUUAUGUUUUAAUAUCAAGUAUCUGUGCACACACUUGGAAGAUUUUUCUUUAUUUAAAAUAGCCCUGCCUAAUACUGGCCGUAUUUCCCUAAUUCACAGUAUCUGUUUCUUUAUUAUUUGAGUUUUAUACAUUUAGCAGUUUGGCUUUCCUUAGUCUUAUGUAACCUGUUCUGAAAUGGUUAUAUUAUGAUUUAUAUAUCGUUAUCGCAAUGGGUUGCAAUGUUUAUCGCAAUAUGGAUUUUAGGCCAUAUCGCCCAUCCCUACUUCCUGGUGAGUUAACCCGUUACCUGAAGGUUGAUCUGAGUAGUAAGGAUGUUUUAUUGGUUCAUGGGUUACUUAGGAGUUUGGUUUAUGUUGGUUUUAAUGAUUUGUUGAAAUGGUUACGGGCUCAAAGUUAUUGUUGUAAGAUGGAGUAAUGGGUUGGGUUCUGAUGUCUUUGUCUUCUUUCCAUUACUCUCCUGAGCUCUGCAUCUUCAUCACAUGUGUUGCUUUACUGAUGAGGGUGUGGUCUGAGUGAGCGGAGGUGCAUACUGGGAUACAGAGCUGUCUGAAGUCUACAGGUCUGUAGACACGCCCCCUCAGGGGAAACCGAGUGUUUGAGAAACCGUUGUGACGUCAGUUACAUGGACUAGAAUGUUCUUUAAGAUGGAGACAGGGAUUCAGAAGGAGAAACACCAGGGGGAGAUGAAGGGGCUCCUCAUCUCAACAGCUAAAACACAACUUCAGUCUGACACAGAGAUCCAUGGAACACAUUCAACAGUCCCCUCCAGACAUCGUGACUCCUCAGGAACAGUUUCAUUUCCAAGAAGGUCUAAAUUGUGGCCUUUACAAGAUGGAUCCUGCUCCUCAAGAGCCACCCCCCUCCACUGGGUGGUCUUCUGAACAGAUGACCUCCUUCCUGUCCUCAGGCUGACUAAAGCUGCACCAUUUGCAUCUGUGAACGUUGAAUCAACCUGGGACACAUUUUGGAGACGCCAAGCAUAAUCCAUCACCAAUGUGGGACGCCACUGAAGAAUGUUGUGCAUAAUUUACUUCUCUGGAGACAUUGGUUGUUCUGUUCUGGGUGCCCUGGCAGGAGAGCUGGGGUUGGAUUAUGGAAUGUUAUUUGGCAUGAGGUUUUUAUCCUGCAUGAUUGUUUGGCCUUUUAUGGUUCAGUGGUGUGUGUUUGGGUUUGUUUUGAGAUGGAUGAUUUUGGAGUAUCGCUAUAGGGUUCUACUGUGUCUCCCACUCACACCUGGCAUGGGGUUCUACGUGCGUGUGUCCGGCUUGCUUUGACAGUGAUAAUGUUCAUACGGGGGUCUGUGUGAUUGGCUUGGGAUAUUGGAAUGGUCAACUAAAUCAUACCUGAUGGACGGCCAACACCCUGGGCAGGAAGGAGAGUAUCCAACUCAAGUGUAAAAGGAUGCAAGCGGCGUGUUCAGAUCAUUGACUUCAAACUAGGACUACACCAAUCUGGAUCAAUGGAGGAUGGACACCUAAAGGAAUUCCAAAAGGAGUCUGAUGUUGGAAAGGGACCUAAAUGGAUAUUCAAGAUAACCUUCACACCUGUAAUGAGACGCCUCUUCCUACCUGGCUGGAUUGAUGGAGAGCCCUGUGGAUCUUGUCUUGCUCUCAGUUGCACGUCUUCUCAGGCUGAACUGUACUUGUUUCGGACAGGACUAGCUGAACGAUUGGUUCCCUUAAAUCAGAACCAAUCUGGGAACUCCAACUAGUGCGCUCUUCGAGCUGAAGUUGUGCUUUUCAGCUGAGGAGGUAAGGAAACCUUCACUGGGGUUUCAAGGUGUAAAGAGGAGGAUGUUUCAAAGUGUUCCAUGGUAUUCUGAUUAAGACCGUUGUUGUGUUCCACUGGCUGAGAGGAAGAACCCUCACAUCUUCCUCCUGGUCUCUCUCCGCUGAGAGUCCUGGCGCCAUCUUGAAGGAUAUUCCUGCUCAUGUAACUGAUGUCACGACAGAUUCUCAAACACUUGGUUUCUCCUGAUGGGCGUGUCUAUAGAACUGAAGACUUCAGAAAGCACUGUAUCCCAGCAUGCAUCUCUGCUCACUCGGAUCACACCCCCAUGAGUAGGAUGCAACACUCUAGUGAUGGAGAUGUAGGGUUUUAUAAGUAACGAGGGAGCAGACAAAGGUGAUUGGAACACAAUGGCAUGUCAAGUCUGUAAAUCUUUAAACCAUGAAGAUGGUUGGAUAGUUCAGGAAUUGGGCUUCUUUUUAUUAUGGGCGGUCCUUUCACUCAGAUGCCCACUUCUCACUGGACCUGUACAUGUGUUGGCUGGCUGGCAUGAUUUGCUGUUGGUGAUGAGGCGGUCAGGGUGAUGUUGCAGGGCUAUGGUCGGCUCUCUGUGAGCUCAACGUUUAGAUUUGCUCUGUAUGUUUUGUUCCUGGAAUAAUCUAGAUAAUUGUAAAAUGUAGACACUGUUUUGUAUUGAAUGAUUUUAGGUUUAAAGUUGUUGUGGGACGUACAUGGUAGUUUGGUUCUUCGUCCGGUUUUGAGUGAUAUAACUUGUGUACACUGGGUGCAUAAUAAUGUAAAGGCACACUGAAUAGUAUUAAUGACCAACCGCAACAAACAGAUCUCCUCAAGGUAAGUCUGUUGGCUGUGUUUUAAUGAAGACCAUCGCUGGACUUCAUGAUCUUCCUCCGUUCAGCUCAAGGUGAGGCGCUGGUUCUGUUUUUUCUUUGGUUGGUUCCGGCCGGAAUGUUCGGAUUCCAGUCGGACGGUUUGUGCUUCCCGCCGUGGAAGCUUCUGAGUGCGGUCACUUGAUUUAGUCCCAAUGGUUAGCAUAGAACGUUGUAGUCUUGACAACCAUAAGAAACCACCUGGCAGUUAGUAGGACGGGAGUCCCCUGAGGGAAUCUGGCGGAACGUUCUGGAUUGUAUUUGCGUAACCUCGAGCCGUUGCCAACGGAAACUAUUUUUCAGUCGUUUCCAUUGCGAAUUGUUCCCUUAUCUUAAACAACUUUAAGUUGGAUUUUAAAUACAUACUGACACGUACGUCGUACAAUAUGUUGAUAAUUUCCGAUGGUUGCAGCGUACUUUUAACCACGAUGACGUGACGGGACUCUCGCUGCGUACAAAACGGCGUUCUACUUGCGGGCCCAUUUUUCGACAUCAGUGAAGGCUGAAAAUCAUUGCAAGGUGGAAGACAAUUUGACGGAAACCAGCACCCGAAUAUGGCUGAGUAUAUUUUAUUUAAUAUCGAUGCUGCUUAGUGUUCUUUGUUACUUCAGCUUUUGUACGUUCUCAAUAUCUGCUGUCAUUAAUUGCAACAUAAGUUAAACCCUACCUAAUGAAAUGACGUUAAACAACGACUUUGGUUCAGAGUUACACUGACAAUAUCUGAUCACGGAUAAUAUCAAAGUUAAAAUAAUGGCCGUCCUUCCCACAUGUUACAGUAGAAGAUACUCUAGAACUGCACAAGGUUAAAAAGGUAACAUGUAGUUUGUCCCAAGGUGUCUGCCUCCUCACCCAGAGCAAGACCUCCACCUCCUCACCCAGAGCCAGACCUCCACCUCCUGCCAGAAGUCCUCCAGAACAGCUGAAAGGUGAGGCUGAGAGGCUGGGGACCGGAGGCUUGUGGUGCCAGGAUGGACCGGAGACUGAGGCUGGAUACCAGGGGCCUGCAGCACCGGACCAGAGGACCAGGAAACUAUGUCUGGGGGAGCCGAGCUGAUGGAGGAGCCGAGCUGAUGGAGGAGCCGAGCUGAUGGAGGAGCCGUGCUGAUGGAGGAGCCGGGCUGAAGGAGCUGAUGGAGGAGCCGUGCUGAAGGAGCUGAUGGAGGAGUCGUGCUGAGGGCCCUGCCUGGUGGAGGAGCUGGUGGAGGCCCUGCCUUGUGAAGGACGUCUCAUGGGACCAGGACUCUGUCUGAGGAGAGCUGCUGGAUUCCUCAACGUGUUUCUGGAGCGGAGGCAAGCUGGUAGGGGAGCCGUGAAUCUGGAGGAUGACCAUCACUCUACCAACAAGGAUUACGUUAGGGCCAGUCUCGCGCUGUUUGUUCCAGACCAGGACUCUGGCUGAGGUGAGCUGAUGGAGGAGCCAAGACUCUGGAGGACAACAUCACUCUACCAACCAGGAUCCUCACCAGGAAUCUGGAGGACUGAUGGAGAAGCCGUACAUCUGGAAGGCAAAUCCUGAGGACAAACAGGACUCUACCAUCAAGGAUUCCUUACACACCUGAGCUGAACCUCACCUGAUCCUGUUUGGUCGGGGGUAGACACACCUGAGCUGAACCCGCCCUGAUCCUGACAUCCUGCUGGUCCCGUCUCCUCAGUUCAUCUGCGCCUCGUCCUCCAGAUGACCUGCUGAGCUCAGCAGUCUGAGGCUGAUGGAUCAAUGACCUCCAGUGGGAGUGAUCUUCUUGACCCCACAUGUAACCGUGUGCUUCCACACGCCUUUCCCUCACGUCUGUCACUAACCUCACUACUCCACUACUCUCUACUGCUUCCUCUUCUUCUUCCUUCUCUGUGGUUCGAACCUUUACACCGAAGGCGCGUCUUCCUGCCCUCAGAGGGUUUAUCGUUAGGGUUGAGAGUCAGGGUUUAGAGUCAGGGACAGAGCUGGUCAGGGAGGACUGCUUUUACACAAACCUCUUCACUUCCUGUCGGAAUGGUGGUGACAUUUCGAAAAGAUGCAUUUGGGGAAAUGUUUUCCUCUGCUUUCCUUUACAAAAUUGUAUUAAACAUCUGUCAAGUGUUUUUGUUUAUAUAUUAAAAUCCCACAUUGACUUCUACAUGUUUGGUGCGGUGGCAAGCUGGUAGGGGAGCCGUGAAUUUGGAGGAUGACCAUCACUCUACCAACAAGGAUUACGUUAGGGCCAGUCUCGCGCUGUUUGUUCCAGACCAGGACUCUGGCUGAGGUGAGCUGAUGGAGGAGCCAAGACUCAGGAGGACAACAUCACUCUACCAACCAGGAUCCUCACCAGGAAUCUGGAGGACUGAUGGAGAAGCCGUACAUCUGGAAGGCAAAUCCUGAGGACAAACAGGACUCUACCAUCAAGGAUUCCUCACACACCUGAGCUGAAUCCGCCCUGAUCCUGACAUCCUGCUGGUCCCGUCUCCUCAGUUCAUCUGCGCCUCGUCCUCCAGAAGACCUGCUGAGCUCAGCAGUCUGAGGCUGAUGGAUCAAUGACCUCCAGUGGGAGUGAUCUUCUUGACCCCACAUAACCCACGUAACCGUGUGCUUCCACACGACUUUCCCUCACGUCUGUCACUAACCUCACUACUUCACUACUCUCUACUGCUUCCUCUUUUCUUCCUUCUCUGUGGUUCAAACCUUUACACUGAAGGCGCGUCUUCCUGCCCUCAGAGGGUUUAGCGUUAGGGUUGAGAGUCAGGGUUUAGAGUCAGGGACAGAGCUGGUCAGGGAGGACUGCUUUUACACAAACCUCUUUACUUCCUUUCGGAAUGGUGGUGACAUUUCGAAAAGAUGCAUUUGGGGAAAUGUUUUCCUCUGCUUUCCUUUGCAAAAUUGUAUUAAGCUUCUGUCAAGUGUUGUUUAUAUAUUAAAAUCCCACAUUGACUUCUACUUGUUUGGUGCGGUUCAUUUAAUUGUCCUUUAAGUUGGUUAAUGUCAAGCUAAACUCCUGCAAUACAUUUAAUAUACAUGAUUGUUAUUCAGCAAUGUUCACAUAAUCCAUUUUGUAAAAAUAUGAAACCUCCAUUACUACAAAAUUCUAGUCUUGAACUAUGUACUAUGUAUCCACACAUCACGACUCACUACAAUGGGUGCCCGGUCAUUCAGCUGUUCAGCACCAAGGCUCUGGAACUCCCUCCCCCCACACAUAAAACAGUCAGACACCAUUACAACCUUCAAGUCGCAACUCAAAACUCACCUGUUCAAACUCUCACACAACGUCUAACUGAUCACUGUUUUGAUUGUUUGUUUUUUGUCUUUUUGAUUUAUUUUUUUUAUUUUUUUUUUCCACUGUCUUGUUUUUCAACUGGACACGCCGAUACGUGCGUAAAUGUUGACAUUAGUAAAAAUGUCACGCGAGUAAAGGAGGCCCUUAUCAAUAACGGGAACAAUAUUAUUUGCAGCAUGUAGGCCUAGUGGUGAUGGUUGAGACGAUGAGAACAUCACAAAUGACAAUCUUUUCAUGGGUUGAAUCUGCAAAAAGGAUUUGGUUGCCCUCUGCUGGCCAGCCUUCAGUUGAUUGUUCUUCCCUAUAGAUAUCACAAGUCAGUCAGUCGAUACAUUAUAAUAACUUAAUUCAUUAGGCGUUUUAUUAUAACAAAUCAAUCAAUGCUAUCAAUAUAAUAUCACUUAUGGGAGAUGUUCAAUGAUUAUGGGAAUAUGCAAACACAGCUCAGAAACAGAUGGUGACACAAUCUUUAAUCUUUUCACACAAAUUCACUUUGUCAGAGGCGCCCAGACUGAAAUGUCAAUCAGUUCCACACCUAGCCUGGUGUCUCUCAACGUGCACUCAGACCGGCCUUGUGGAACAAGAUAAAACAUGCAAGACACAAUGGUAGGCCUUCCCGUUUCACUUCUGAGGAAGAACGUGACCCACAUUCACGCCUCCAGUUCAUGGUUUGCAUUAGAACUAUGUGGUUGAAUUUGCCUGUCGUUGCUUAACGGUAACUAGACAACUAUGAAAUUAUAUCAACUAGGGCUGUAACGAUACGCGUAUCAAACCGAAAAUCGCGAUACUCAAAGCCACGAACCUGUCUCGCGGUGUGAGAAGGCAGAAGCGCGAUACGCCCUUUCUAACUGCGGUCAAAUUGUCCGAUUGAAAUUUGCUAAUAAUUUGUCUAAAUAAUAGUCUGCUGACAGCGCCCCCCUCCUAUCGAUGCCGUAAGUAUGCGACUGCAAUCCUCCGUGGCUACGGAGGAUCGCAUUUCUCCACAGCCGUCGAAGUGCUCAUAUGCGAUAUGAACGACAUUUAUCCAGAGGGGGCCUGUGUGAUCCUGUCUCUAGUGUUUUGUGUGAUUUGACUGGCAGUUUGUCUGCUUGUAGGUCGGAAUGAAGCGGCCACCGAUUAUUGACAGGAUCAGACUCGUUCGCUUCUUCACUAGACACACGCGCUACCGCUCGCUCUCCUCGCUCGUCCACUCACUCGCUGACGUCACUCACACACGCAUACGCACAUUGCCAUUCUGGCGCACACACAUAUGCUACUCGUAACGCCUCGUUAUUGCGACGUUCAUGACAUUCAGGUUUUUCUCCAUCUAUUGAAAGUUAGGCUAUUAAACAUGUUGCAUUCUAUACGGCCUGAUUAUGUCAUUAUUUAAGCUACAUAGCCUAAUAAGAAGUGCUAAUAAGGAUAUUUGACUAAACCAACCAAACAGUUGAAAAAAAGCAUCCUCCCACACGUUAUUUCUUUAUUCAUUUAGCUAUACUUUAAUAGUAUUCUUUCUGUUCAAAUCUGUUCAGUGUUCCAAAUUAUUUGUUAUUAAAUGUUACAUUAAGUUAAUUGGUAUAAGUGUUGUUUAAAUAAAAUGCUUUUUAAAUUUCAAAAAAUCGUGGGAUGUAUCGAACCGUGGGUCAAAAAUCGUGAUACAAACCGAAUCGUGAGUUUGUGUAUCGUUACAGCCCUAAUAUCAACCCUAAAAGCCUCCACACUGGCAGUCUCACUGUAAGUAAUCGUUUAUAUUGACUUUUAUUUAGUUUUGUAUUCAUUUUAAUUAUACAUCAAAGCGAGACACCUACUUUUAGACUUUUUGGAACAGGAUUUGUUGGUUUCAUCAUAAAUUUUCUUUUUCUCUUGCAAUUUGUUGAUAUUUUGUCUGAAGUGCUUACAGGGGAGGAUUCCUCAGUCUUUUGUCGAGUGAUUUGGCCACCAGUUAAAGCUAUCCCUUCCAUAGGCCAUAUAGUGAAACUGGAUGCACGCGUAUAGUGGCAUACAUUAAGAUUUAAAGCGUUGAUUCAUACUGUUUUUCACUAAACAAACUCCGUAAACAUACAACGUUCAGUACAUCAACAGGUGAUUCAUUUUCAUCAAAUGUAAGAUCAACGAUUAUCCUUUCUGUUUCGUGGUGUUAUGACCCCGUCAUAAUUACAAUUCAUAAUAAGUUGUGAUUGAGUUCCCGUUGAUUUCGGCCUUAACCGUCCUACAGCAAAGUCGUACAAGCAGGAUUUUCUAAUUCCAUGACGAAUACUAUUCAAUGAUUGGUAUUCUAUCACUUAUAUUUAUGGGGAAACUUAUGGACUGGUAUUCAGGCAGGAAUAGAGUAUUUUUUAUCUACACAUAUGUACUAAACUACUUCUGAUUUAAGUUACUUAACAGUUCAUUUAAGUUUGUUUUAGUGCAUCUUAAUGGAGCUCAAAAUUAAUAAAUCAACCUGAAUCAAAUCAAAUGAAAGGAUUUGGAUGUUAUCACGAUAAAGGAGUGCAGAUGCCUCUAAAAGUAUUGAAUAAAGCGACCAUAAGUGUCACAGUUUAGAUGUUACAUUCUGUUGGGAUUAGGACUAUGUUUAUAUCUUCACUGUACAGUUAAAACAUAUUCACAUGCUUAUACCCACCUUGGGAUAUUCUCCUCUCCUGAUCACCACAGGAUCAUAGGUCAAGAUUUGACAUGCUGUAAUUCCACGCCCUAAGAUGUCUCUUUGAAAGAUUGAUCACAUGAAAGGCCAUGAAUCUCUCUCCCUCUCUCUGAAUAAUUAACGACUCCUAGGUUGUCAAUUGAUUAGUAAGAGCUGUGUGUGUAGUCAGAGAUGUGUGUGUAACUUUGUUGAACUUCAAAACUCUUACUCACUGCUCGCUCCCUUCCCUGCUUCAGACAACCCCUCCCUCUCUCUCUCUCUCUCUCUCUCUCUCUCUCUCUCUCUCUCUCUCGCUCUCUCUCUCUCCCCCUCUUCGGCAAAAGGAUUUGAUUCUCUCUCUCUCUCUCUCUCUCUCUCUCUCUCUCUCUCUCUCUCCCCCGCUCCCUCCCCCCCCCCCUCCCUCCCCC
ensembl:lncRNA